rnacentral:rRNA from 1 species
UGCCAGCAGCCGCGGUAAUACGAAGGGUGCAAGCGUUAAUCGGAAUUACUGGGCGUAAAGCGCGCGUAGGUGGUUCAGUAAGUUGGAAGUGAAAUCCCCGGGCUCAACCUGGGAACUGCUUUCAAAACUGCURARCUAGARUACGGUAGAGGGUGGUGGAAUUUCCCGUGUAGCGGUGAAAUGCGUAGAUAUAGGAAGGAACACCAGUGGCGAAGGCGACCACCUGGACUGAUACUGACACUGAUGUGCGAAAGCGUGGGGAGCAAACAGGAUUAGAUACCCUGGUAGUCC